rnacentral:rRNA from 1 species
GACGAACGCUGGCGGCGUGCUUAACACAUGCAAGUCGAACGAUGAAGAAAAGAAUCGAAGCUUCGGCAGAAAUUCAUUUCGGAUUAGUGGCAGACGGGUGAGUAACGCGUGAGCAACCUACCUCUUACAAAGGGAUAGCCUCGGGAAACCGGGAUUAAUACCAUAUAACAUUGUGACGAAGCAUUUCGAUGCAAUCAAAGCUACGGCGGUAAGAGAUGGGCUCGCGUCCCAUUAACCGGAUGGUGAGGUAACGGCUCACCAUAGUGACGAUGGGUAGCCGGCCUGAGAGGGUGAACGGUCACACUGGAACUGAGACACGGUCCAGACUCCUACGGGAGGCAGCAGUGGGGAAUAUUGCACAAUGGAGGGAACUCUGAUGCAGCGACGCCGCGUGAGUGAUGAAGGAAUUCGUUUCGUAAAACUCUGUUAUAUGGGAAGAAAAGGACUGUACCAUAGGAGAAAGCUCCGGCUAAAUACGUG